rnacentral:ribozyme from 1 species
AAAACUGAAGAAAAAAAAUAGAAAUGAAAAGCGCAGCCUCUUGCUGCACCCUAGCUUUUGUUUCCUUUGGUUUCUUUAUUUAAUUCCUUUCUUUCU